UGUACAUGGUCGGAUGAGACGUCACACACACACUCGACCCAAACAGAGAAACUAAGAAAAAGAGUGAUUUUCCAUCAUCAAUGUCAUAUCAUGUGACCUAAUUUUAAUGCCUUCCUUUCAUAUAUACAUAUUCCAUUUCUUCCAUAUAGUUAUUAUUAUUUAUCAUUAUUAUUAUUCACUCUCUCUUAAGGGCUUGAACAUCUCAUUUUUCCCUCCUCUUUUUAUCUCAGCUCCUCCUCCUAACUGUGGAGCUGAGGAUGUAGUGGUAGUAGUUUCUGUUUGGGAUGGAAAUGCAGAAAAUGGGUGCCGUAUUAUCUGAGAGCUUCGAGUACUUACUGAAGAAGUUGAUGAGUGAAUCCGAUGCACCAAGCGGUGAGAUUAGCAAUGCAAAUGGACUAAAGAGUACCACUAAUAAUUGCCAAGUGCUCUCCUGGCCGUACCAUUAUCAGAGGGAAAAGAUCUGGUGUUGGUGGAAACAUACUAAGCCCAAUGAGCUCUGUUAUCAUCAUCGUCACUCCAGCAAUGGAGUUUUAUACCCAAAAGAAGAAAUUGUCACCACAGCUGCCCCAUGUUUGGCUUUGCUCUUUACUCUUAUUUGUCACCAUUCUCUCCAGGCGAUGGUAGGAGUGCAUGAAACAAUAUUAUUGUUGGUCCAAAACCAAAAGCAACUCAUUUCAUCAUCAUGUGGUGGUGCUGGGGUCGAUCAACAUUUUUAAUUAUGGGACAUGCAAAGUUGGAGAGAGAUCAAUUAGCAGGAGCGACGUCGUUUGUUGCGGCGUGAUGUUACAGUUUAAAGACCUUGUACGGAACUAUAGGAUAUCCGUAGUGCUAUAUAUAGCUAGCUAGGGAUAUCCUCAUUGGUUCUGAAACGAGUUCCCCUAUGAGACUUCAAAACUUCAAGUGGCCGUGUUUAUAUAUGACCACAUAGUCCGAUUUCAUUUGUUUGGAUGUUUUAUGUUUUUAUAAACUGAUCGACGAGAACAAGUAUAUGGGAUCUGAGUAUAACCCCAACAAUUGCUGGGAAUACAAAAUGGUUGUAAUAAAAUUUUAUUAUAUGUUUUCACAUGCUCUUUAAUUAA